rnacentral:rRNA from 1 species
CAUUACCGAGUUUACAACUCCCAAACCCCUGUGAACAUACCAAUUGUUGCCUCGGCGGAUCAGCCCGCUCCCGGUAAAACGGGACGGCCCGCCAGAGGACCCCUAAACUCUGUUUCUAUAUGUAACUUCUGAGUAAAACCAUAAAUAAAUCAAAACUUUCAACAACGGAUCUCUUGGUUCUGGCAUCGAUGAAGAACGCAGCAAAAUGCGAUAAGUAAUGUGAAUUGCAGAAUUCAGUGAAUCAUCGAAUCUUUGAACGCACAUUGCGCCCGCCAGUAUUCUGGCGGGCAUGCCUGUUCGAGCGUCAUUUCAACCCUCAAGCCCCCGGGUUUGGUGUUGGGGAUCGGCGAGCCCUUGCGGCAAGCCGGCCCCGAAAUCUAGUGGCGGUCUCGCUGCAGCUUCCAUUGCGUAGUAGUAAAACCCUCGCAACUGGUACGCGGCGCGGCCAAGCCGUUAAACCCCCAACUUCUGAAUGUUGACCUCGGAUCAGGUAGGAAUACCCGCUGAACUUAAGCAUAUCAAUAAGCGGAGGAAAAGAAACCAACAGGGAUUGCCCUAGUAACGGCGAGUGAAGCGGCAACAGCUCAAAUUUGAAAUCUGGCUCUCGGGCCCGAGUUGUAAUUUGUAGAGGAUACUUUUGAUGCGGUGCCUUCCGAGUUCCCUGGAACGGGACGCCAUAGAGGGUGAGAGCCCCGUCUGGUUGGAUGCCAAAUCUCUGUAAAGUUCCUUCGACGAGUCGAGUAGUUUGGGAAUGCUGCUCUAAAUGGGA